rnacentral:rRNA from 1 species
UUAGGAAUAUUCGUCAAUGGGGGAAACCCUGAACGAGCAAUGCCGCGUGAACGAUGACGGUCCUAUGGAUUGUAAAGUUCUGUUGUUUGGAAAGAACGAUAGAUAUAGGAAAUGAUAUCUAUGUGACGGUACCAUUCAAGAAAGCCACGGCUAACUACGUGCCAGCAGCCGCGGUAAUACGUAGGUGGCGAGCGUUAUCCGGAUUUAUUGGGCGUAAAGGGUGCGCAGACGGUUUAAUAAGUCUAAAAUCAAAUCUUGGGGCUUAACCCCAUUCCGUUUUAGAAACUGUUAGACUUGAGUAUGGUAGAGGCAAAUGGAAUUCCUAGUGUAGCGGUGGAAUGCGUAGAUAUUAGGAGGAACACCAGUGGCGAAGGCGAUUUGCUGGGCCAUAACUGACGUUCAUGCACGAAAGCGUGGGGAGCAAAUAGG